GACGAACGCUGGCGGCGGGCUUAACACAUGCAAGUCGAACGGAAAGGCCCCUUUGGGGGUCCUCGAGUGGCGAACGGGUGCGUAACACGUGAGUAACCUGCCCUUAACUUCGGGAUAACUUCAGGAAACUGGGGCUAAUACCGGAUAGGAAUCCUUGCUGCAUGGUGGGGGUUGGAAAGCUUCGGCGGUUUUGGAUGGACUCGCGGCUUAUCAGCUUGUUGGUGGGGUAGUGGCUUACCAAGGCUUUGACGGGUAGCCGGACUGAGAGGGCGACCGGCCACAUUGGGACUGAGAUGCGGCCCAGACGCCUACGGGAGGCAGCAGUGGGGAAUAUUGCACAAGGGGCGGCAGCCGGAUGCAGCAACGCCGCGUGCGGGAUGACGGCCUUCGGGUUGUAAACCGCUUUCAGCAGGGGCGAAGCUUGUGGUGACGGUACCUGCAGAAGAAGCACCGGCUAACUACGUG
rnacentral:rRNA from 1 species